rnacentral:lncRNA from 1 species
CAAUGCACAAGUGAAGCUGGAAAACCGCACCAAGUGACAAACUGUGAAGUAACAGCUCAGCCUUCACAGAGUGGAUAUGCUCUGUGCUAUUUCUGGCCAGAGCAGAUGUGGCCUUGAUGGACAGUGGGGAACGGCCUCUCGCAGGUGGAGGAACCUGGGAACCUUGACCUUUGAAUGGCAUCAGCCAUAUUGGCCACUGCCAUGUACAUCCUGCACCUUGGAACCAGUCCAGUCAUCACUGCAAGAACUCACCAGAUUUCUCUCUCACAUUCCCUAAUAAAGGGAUUUUAGUGUCUGCACAGAUGGGAAUUUUGCUGCCCCCCUUCUCAUUUCACACUUCCUGUACUUUCUUUGCUAAGUAUUCACAUUCCCCAAAUAGAACACAGUUGUUUGAAUCUGUGUGUGGGAAUUUCAUAGGAGAGUAGACAAGGUGUCUGUAGCUCCCUAUAAUUACCACACCUGAGUUAAUUUUCUUAUUGGUUACAAAACAGAUAAAGGAUAUAGAAGAGGGCUCAGAGGCCUCUCAAAGAACAGCAUUGGGUUUUCUUUCAUGAGAGGACCCAUGAUGGAGCAGGGCAUUAAUGCGGAAGUGUGAACAAUGAGGAAGGAGAGGAUAGGAACUUUUGUCUGGUCAGCUACCCACUAGUUCCCUUUGUGAAUCUCAUAUUCUCAUGAGGUCUUCUUCUGAUGGUAUCUCCCCUUCCUCUCUACCUUAUUUUAUUGAGCUUCCAUAUUCCUUUCUCCCUAGAUGAAUUCUCUUCGUCCUUCAAGGUCUAGUUCAAAUCUCACCUCUGCUGGGAAGACUUCCUGGAACUCUUGACCUAGAAGUGAUUUCCCUGUUGUGUGAGUACUUAGAGCUCCUAAUGACUGU